GUAACGAUCAAAAAAAGCUUCCUCUAUUAGUCAAGAUUGUCUCGGCUCGGGCCAACUCUCGAGCCGUUUUCUGCGUUUUGGACACCAGCACAAAUUCGAAUGUAGUUGACUUCAUGGCAUUCGCAGCAUGUCACUUAUCUUGUUGGUUUAUCUCCACGAGCACAUAUAUUAUUUUACUCGUGCGAUUUCGUGGCUGGGAAAAACCCAUGGGGAGCUUUUUCCAGCAUGGUUACUUCUCAGUGGAUAUCUUUUUGUUUAUCAGGGGCUUGCUUGUGUCAAUGACUGCCUUGCGGACCAUGGAAAAGGCCAAGGGGAAACUGAAUAUUUCGAUGCCAACAGUUUUCUGUCCUCUGUCUCUAUUUGGUCUACAUCUGGCACAUGUACAUCAUCCAACAAUUCUCAGGAUACUGUGGUGA